AUGUGUCGGACAUUUUGAAUCUUUCAUUAUGAUAAAAAAUUAGAAUUUCUUAUGAAUCUUAAAUUAUGUAAUAAAUGGUUUAGAAAAGAUAAAAGAAAUUUGUUUUUAGUAUUAUACUGUGGCUAAUGAGGCAGCUAAAAAGUCCUUCCAGUCAGUUGCAACAACAAUUAAAGCAGCAGGAAACAAUCAAGUACACAUGCAAGUGACAAUGAGGAUUGCAAAAGUUUUAAAUAUCAGAAACUGAAGAAGGAAUUGAUAAUUAGCAGAUAACAAAAAAGCGCAAAAGUACUGAUUAUACAACUCUUUUAAAGUUGAGGAAGAAAUUUAUGUGGUAUGUUAAUGCAAAAGGUACGAAUAUUGGCAGUUAAACCAUCACCACCUCCACAGCCACCUUAUCUCAAGCAUUCAAUUGCAUUCUAAGUUAUCUUUAUUCAAAUCAAGUGUGACUACUAUACCUAAAGACUGUAGAAUGGACCAAUCAACUAACCCAUCAGUACUUGCAAAGUCUUCUUUUCUGUAAGCCCGAAAUUUGAGUUCUAAAAUACCAUUAUCCACAUAACUACUAUAUCAAAGCACAAACUAAUGGAUUGAUCAAUGAAACUGUCGGUAUCUCCACAACUUUUCAAUUAAAUAGAAAGUUUCAAUCAAACAGGAUACUGAGUGUGCCUACUGCUCCUCAAGACAAUGAAUAAUGGGAGUUAUCAAACUUUAUAUAUAUA
rnacentral:lncRNA from 1 species